AGAGAGUUGCUCGAGUGGUUGAUGAGGCACGCCUGGAGAGCGUGUGGGCGGGUAACCGUCUCGUGGGUUCGAAUCCCACACUCUCUG
rnacentral:tRNA from 1 species